UACGGAGGAUGCGAGCGUUAUCCGGAUUUAUUGGGUUUAAAGGGUGCGUAGGCGGAUCGUUAAGUCAGUGGUCAAAUUGAGGGGCUCAACCCCUUCCCGCCAUUGAAACUGGCGAUCUUGAGUGGAAGAGAAGUAUGCGGAAUGCGUGGUGUAGCGGUGAAAUGCAUAGAUAUCACGCAGAACCCCGAUCGCGAAGGCAGCAUGCCGGCUUCCGACUGACGCUGAAGCACGAAAGCGUGGGGAUCGAACAGG
rnacentral:rRNA from 1 species